rnacentral:rRNA from 1 species
CUAGCCUUGANNUGUACGGAAGUCCGAUGAAAGUUGGAUGUGCCUUCGGGAACCGUAACACAGGUGCUGCAUGGCUGUCGUCAGCUCGUGUCGUGAGAUGUUGGGUUAAGUCCCGCAACGAGCGCAACCCUUGUCAUUAGUUGCUACCAUUUAGUUGAGCACUCUAAUGAGACUGCCGGUGACAAACCGGAGGAAGGUGGGGAUGACGUCAAGUCCUCAUGGCCCUUAUGGCUAGGGCUUCACACGUCAUACAAUGGUCGGUACAGAGGGUAGCCAAGCCGCGAGGUGGAGCCAAUCUCUUAAAGCCGAUCGUAGUCCGGAUCGCACUCUGCAACUCGAGUGCGUGAAGUCGGAAUCGCUAGUAAUCGCGGAUCAGAAUGUCACGGUGAAUACGUUCCCGGGA